CAGGAUUUUGUGAAAACAGCUCUGAGAAAUGAGGGGAAGGAACAGCGGGCAGGGAAGACGGCAGGGGAAAGGUGGGUCUCUUGAUGUUCAUUUCUUGCCAGACGAUCAGCACCUUAGAGUUUAAAAAUCCGUUCUCUUGCCUCGCUUCUCCCUAGAGCAACCCCCCCCCCCCCGCCGCCCCCUGCCCCGCGUCACGCCUUCUCCAGUCCUCCUCUUUGGGGACGCUCCGGGACGGGCACCCGGGGGCUUUGGGGGACGAGCGCUCCUAGGGCAAGGCGGAGGCAGCCCGGUCUGAUGGUCUGAUGCCAGUGAAGUGACGCCUCAUUCCGGUUGUGUUUGAAGAAUUGCUGGGGCUGUCGUGACAACUGAGGGCAAAGGAGGGAAAACAGAAGCAAAGAAAACCAUCUCAAAAGUCUUGGGAUUUGCUGCUGUUAAAAGGCUGCUGUUCAUUUCUGAUUUCCUCAUCUUUUGCUACAAAGGAAAAAAAAAAUCUAAUGAUGUGUCUACCUUCGAUGAGAAGAAAACACUAACAACAGUGAAGGUUCGAACGUCAUUGUGUGGAGAGGGCAGGAGUGAAUUAGGGCCCCGGGGAGCACGUACGCGGGGCAACGAGAUGGCCUGAAAUACGAGCCGAACCUGUUUUGAAACAAGCUGAAUUGGUACUCACCUGGAUGAAGGAUUUGAAGGCAGGCAGGCCCACAAGCCAGCAGGAAACUGUUGUCUUUCCAACUCCAUCUUUAGGCACAGACAAAUGGUCAGCUGAGUGGCAUCAUUAAUAGAAGCAGCUAUUUUAGAAGCUCUACUUCUGGAAGUGGAGUAAAAAGGAGGCGUAACCUGGAGUUUAAGAUACCCACUGAUAAUGAGGGUAUUUGAGUGAUGGUAAUUGGCAAGGAGAAAGACUUAAAGAUCUAUCUGGAGACCAACCCUCACACUCCAGGCAUGCUGCCAGAUAAAGACUAAAAACAGCAUGUAAGAUGGCAAGAAAAAUAUGCUCUUGGUUUCUUCAUUGCCAUAAAAGCCACUGGGAAGAGCUUAAAGAGACAUGCCAUUCCUGAAUGGUAACAUGAGACUUCUUGUUCUAUGACUUGUGUGAAAACUUCUGCCCUUCCGGACUGGAGACAAGGAGUAUCAUUUUCAACAAAGUGCAACCCUUUGGUCUAUCUACUCAUCAUCAAAAAAGGGUACAGUAAGUAAAGCUGCAGAAUGAUCAUCCCUUUACAUUCAGUGCUGAUCUUGGAACCAGAUCAGUAACUCAACAAUAUUGCUUCUUUCUUUUAGACUAAGGUAAUGGAACCUCUUUAACCUUGAGGAUGACAAUUUGAUUUUUGCACACCACACAAGGUUUGGUAGUACACGACAAGCUUACAGAAUGUAGCCACAGCUUCUUGCUCUGGGAAAUGUGGAUCAAUUUAAUUAUUAAAACCAUUUUGAUGUUGGGGCCCUUGUGAGCAGAAUCUUUAAGAUGACCUGAGCCAAUCCACACUCCAUUAUUUCACUGACACUUAACAUGUUCUUUGCAGCUGUCAAGCUGUAUCUCCCCAAAUCCAAGACAAUGAGUAAAUUACAUCAGUUCAGUCAGUGCAAAAAUCAGCGAAAAUAGUUGCAUGACUGAACCGACAAGUCAUUUGACACACUGUAAACUGAAACACUGAAGGAAAUUGGAAGAACUGAGAUUGUGUUGUCCCCUGAGUCACUUAAAAUCUCUGAGUGUGUUUUGUUUUCUGUAAAAUGGGUGUAUUAAUACUUUGCCCAGAUGGGUUGUGGUGAAGGUUAGAAAUAAUGCAUGUAAAGUAUCGGACAUGUAGCAGACCCUUGA